GAGAGGAGUGUCAGGAAAAGAAACUGUAUUUUUUACAGUUUUUCUCAGUCGCUUUGGUACAUUUCUCAAAUCAUCCUCGACAUUUGCAAAAUAGUAAGUGCAUUUCUCAAGACAAUUCAUACAAAUAGCAAAACACCAUGGAUUACCUGCAAAAGCCAGUCUCUUGCUCAAAAUCCUUAGUUCAUCUCUCAAAAGUAAAUAUCUGUGUCAAUGAACAUGUCAUUGCCAUCAGAAUGAC